GGCACAAAAGCGGCCGACACCGCCGGCCUCUACGUCUUUAACCUCUCCGUCGGCACGUCGAUCCUGCAGAACAUUACCGGCAUCCUGGACAUCACCACUGAGCUCGUGUGGGCGCAGUGCGCGUGUAGCGCUGACGCCUGCUUGCCACCUCCGGGGACCACAUUCGACCCAAGUACGUCGGACACCUUCGCCGGGGUUCCCUGCAUCAGCCAGAGGUGCCAGAGCGUGAUCAAGCAGCAAUGUGGCCCUGACCCCGCGGCGAACUGCACGUACCUUAUGCAAUACGACGACUACACCAACACGACCGGCUACCUCGGCAACGACACGUUCACGUUUGGUCAGACUCAGUUCCCCGACGUGGUGUUCGGCUGCAGCAAGGCGAGCUACGGUGAUUUCUUUGGCGCCUCCGGCGUCCUGGGCUUCAGCAGGGGGAGCCUAUCCCUGGUGUCCCAGCUCCAACUCUCCUGGUUCUCCUACCUCUUGGUUUCGGACGGACCCAGCCCCUUGCAGUUCGGCUAUGACGCCGUUCCGCAGACGGAGAACAGCCACUCAACUCCCCUUCUCAACAACGACGCAAACCCUGGCCUUUACUAUGUCAAGCUCACCGGCAUAAU
rnacentral:lncRNA from 1 species